AAUAAGCGGAGGAGGAAAAGAAACUAACAAGGAUUCCCCUAGUAGC
rnacentral:rRNA from 1 species